UACGAAGGGGGCUAGCGUUGCUCGGAAUUACUGGGCGUAAAGCGCACGUAGGCGGCUUCUUAAGUCGGUGGUGAAAUCCUGGAGCUCAACUCCAGAACUGCCUUCGAUACUGGGAAGCUCGAGUCCGGGAGAGGUGAGUGGAACUGCGAGUGUAGAGGUGAAAUUCGUAGAUAUUCGCAAGAACACCAGUGGCGAAGGCGACUUCCUGGCCUGUUCUUGACGCUGAGGCGCGAAAGCUAGGGGAGCAAACGGG
rnacentral:rRNA from 1 species